ensembl:lncRNA
AUGCCAGAUGUAACUAGGGUGACCACCUCCAGAAGUCUGGAUGCAGAUGCCAAAUGGUGCCCCAUCUCUGAGUCAGUAGAUCCUUCCUCAGAGGAAUGGGCCAAGCAGGGGCUAUCGCGAGAAGCACUAGUUCGGGGAACCAGGUCCAAGUGGGCCACUAUGGCACCACUAGCAAGGCUUGCUCCUCGUCCUCCCAGACUUUGCGCAGUGUCUGUGCGAGAAGGCUCACUGGGGGAAAUGCAUAUUUGCGUAGGCCCUGUGGCCAGCUGUGUGCCAGUGUGUCUGUGCCAAGUGUCCUCUCGGUCAGGGAGUAGAACAACUGGCAGUGAGAGGUCUCUGGAGAAGCAAACAGGUCUACCUGAGUGGCUCCAAACCGUCUCCAAAUCAGCUGGAGCGUCAGAGAAUGGAGUCGCCAUUCUCCCGGGAGCAUUGCUCGAGACAGCUCAUCGGUUGUACGGUUGAGCAGGCCCAGAAUGUGAACAGCACGAAGUGACCUCAGAACCUUCCGACUCCAAAGGAGGAGGUGGCAGGCGAGUUGCGACAUGCGACGGGAGCGCAGACCACCUUGUCGGUUGAUGUACCCAAAGGUCGCUGUGUUGUCUGUUCGGAUCAGCAUGUGCUUGCCUUGUAAGUGACCUUUGAGGCAGAUCAGAGCAAGGCGUACUGCUAACAACUUUAGGCAAAUGCAGCUGUUGGCCUGUCCAAACCCCUGAGACUGCAUGCCCAUUGUACGUGGCCCCCCAGCCGGUGAUGGAGGCAUCAGUGUAAAUCACAGCAUGCCUGGAGAUCUGUUCUAGGGGCAUCCCUGCCCUGAGGAAUGUAAGAUCUGACCACGGGGUAAGGGUUUGGCGACACGCCGUUGUAACUUGGACCCUGUGAGUUCCGCGCUUCCACACCCACCUCGGGACUCGGCCAUAAAGCCAGUGCUGGAGCGGUCUCAUAUGUAACAGGCCGAGCGGUGUAAGUGCCGCUGCGGCUGCCAUAUGCCCCAGGAGCCUCUGAAAAAGUUUCAGUGGGACCGCUGUCCUGUCCUUGAACGUAUUCAAGCAGGCUAGCACCGACCACACACGUUCCUCUGUGAGGCGCGCUGUCUGUUUGACCGAAUCAAUCUGCAUAACGAGAAAAGGGAUUCUCUGAGUUUGCUCUUUUCCCAGUUAACCCAAAGGUGCAACAGGCUGAGGUGCCGGAGCACCAGGUCCCUGUGCUCGCACAACUGAGCCUGAGAUUGUGCUAGUAUCAGCCAGUCGUCUAGAUAGUUGAGAAUGAGAACACUCUGCUCUCUGAGGGGAACAAGAGCUUCCUUCUGCGACUUUCGUGAAGACACGGGGAGACAGGGACAGCCCGAAGGGCAGGAACUUGUACUGAACACGACAGGGGGUUGUGCAGCCUGAAGUGCGCAACCCACUCGACUCGGGAAUGACCACCGCUGAAGCACCGUCUCACCGACACACAAAGCUUCUGAAGGCGUGCUGAACUCUUAGUUCACAGCAGACACAGUUGAGCAGAACAAUACUAACGCUCGGCUCCGAAGCGAAAAGCCUGGUAUGCAUUGAUUUUUCAUUCCUAUGGGAAGUCUCCAUUUGAUGUUAAAGUAACCUCAUGUCUAGCAGAAACAUUUAACAUUCGGGAUGUUAAAGAGGUCUCUUUUUUAUUUUAUUAUUUUUUUCUGGUUAGCUUUAAGGUCAUUUAUCAACACCAUUUCAAUCACAAUACAUGCAUUGUUAUAUUUGAAGCUGUAGACA